rnacentral:rRNA from 1 species
GAUGAACGCUGGCGGCGUGCCUAAUACAUGCAAGUCGAGCGAACAGACGAGGAGCUUGCUCCUCAGACGUUAGCGGCGGACGGGUGAGUAACACGUGGAUAACCUACCUAUAAGACUGGGAUAACUUCGGGAAACCGGAGCUAAUACCGGAUAAUAUAUUGAACCGCAUGGUUCAAUAGUGAAAGACGGUUUUGCUGUCACGUAUAGAUGGAUCCGCGCCGCAUUAGCUAGUUGGUAAGGUAACGGCUUACCAAGGCAACGAUGCAUAGCCGACCUAAGAGGGUGAUCGGCCCGCGUGGAACUGAGACACGGUCCAGACUCCUACGGGAGGCAGCAGUAGGGACUCUUGCGCAAUAGGCGAAGGCCUGACGGAGCAACGCGGCGUGGGUGAUGAAGGUCUUCCGGUCGUAAGACUCUGUUAUUACGGAAGAACAAAUGUGUAAGUAACUAUGCACGUCUUGACGGUACCUGAUCAGUAAGCCACGGCUAACUACGUG